UGGGGAAUAUUGGACAAUGGGCGAAAGCCUGAUCCAGCCAUGCCGCGUGUGUGAAGAAGGUCUUCGGAUUGUAAAGCACUUUAAGUUGGGAGGAAGGGCAUUAACCUAAUACGUUAGUGUUUUGACGUUACCGACAGAAUAAGCACCGGCUAACUCUGUGCCAGCAGCCGCGGUAAUACAGAGGGUGCAAGCGUUAAUCGGAAUUACUGGGCGUAAAGCGCGCGUAGGUGGUUUGUUAAGUUGGAUGUGAAAUCCCCGGGCUCAACCUGGGAACUGCAUUCAAAACUGACUGACUAGAGUAGGGUAGAGGGUGGUGGAAUUUCCUGUGUAGCGGUGAAAUGCGUAGAUAUAGGAAGGAACACCAGUGGCGAAGGCGACCACCUGGACUAAUACUGACACUGAGGUGCGAAAGCGUGGGGAGCAAACA
rnacentral:rRNA from 1 species